AAGAAUUAUUGAGACAUCUUUGGUACAAAAUGGUGUCAGCAUGUCUGUUUCAUUAACAAAGCUAAGAAAGAUUUCUUGAGAUUGGUAUAAAGUUCACAAAGAUUGAAAAAUUAUAAACAAAGCCAUCACCUGAGAGUAACAGAAGUGGGAAAGAUGUUGGAAUUUUGAAGAGAGAAGUUAUGAAACGGCCAAGAGAGAA